ACGGGAGGCAGCAGUGGGGAAUAUUGCACAAUGGGGGAAACCCUGAUGCAGCAACGCCGCGUGAAGGAAGACGGUUUUCGGAUUGUAGACUUCUGUUCUUAGUGAAGAAUAAUGACGGUAGCUAAGGAGCAAGCCACGGCUAACUACGUGCCAGCAGCCGCGGUAAUACGUAGGUGGCAAGCGUUGUCCGGAAUUACUGGGUGUAAAGGGAGCGUAGGCGGGAUGCCAAGUCAGCUGUGAAAACUAUGGGCUUAACCUGUAGACUGCAGUUGAAACUGGUAUUCUUGAGUGAAGUAGAGGUUGGCGGAAUUCCGAGUGUAGCGGUGAAAUGCGUAGAUAUUCGGAGGAACACCGGUGGCGAAGGCGGCCAACUGGGCUUUAACUGACGCUGAGGCUCGAAAGUGUGGGGAGCAAACAGGAUUAGAUACCCUGGUAGUCCACACUGUAAACGAUGAUAACUAGGUGUGGGGGGUCUGACCCCUUCCGUGCC
rnacentral:rRNA from 1 species